UCAAUCAAAUACAUCAUGGCCUUGCCCUCUUGCAAUCGUUGCUCCGGACAAGCCUCUCCAGUUUGCAUUUACUUAGACACUGGAUUGGGAAUUAUAAGGGUGCGUAUGACCCUAAUUGUCUCCAAAUGGUGUGAUGCAUCAAACAAGAACUUUUUCCGAGUUCAAUUUCUCCGGAUCGACUUCAACACUGGUGCUAAUGCCGCUUCCUUUGUACUUAUACCACCUAGCACAUACUAUGAAGUAGCCUAAGUUCAAUGCCUGCAAUACACCAACCAGAUAA